GAUGAACGCUGGCGGCGUGCCUAAUACAUGCAAGUCGAACGCUGAAGGAGGAGCUUGCUCUUCUGGAUGAGUUGCGAACGGGUGAGUAACGCGUAGGUAACCUGCCUGGUAGCGGGGGAUAACUAUUGGAAACGAUAGCUAAUACCGCAUGACAACAGUUAUUGCAUGAUAACUGUUUAAAAGGGGCAACUGCUCCACUACCAGAUGGACCUGCGUUGUAUUAGCUAGUUGGUGAGGUAACGGCUCACCAAGGCGACGAUACAUAGCCGACCUGAGAGGGUGAUCGGCCACACUGGGACGGAGACACGGCCCAGACUCCUACGGGAGGCAGCAGUAGGGAAUCUUCGGCAAUGGGCGGAAGUCUGACCGAGCAACGCCGCGGGAGUGAAGAAGGUUGUCGGAUCGUAAAGCUCGGUUGUAAGAGAAGAACGAGUGUGAGAGUGGAAAGUUCACACUGUGACGGUAUCUUACCAGAAAGGGACGGCUAACUACGUG
rnacentral:rRNA from 1 species